rnacentral:rRNA from 1 species
AACCGGGAGAGGUAAGAGGUACUACAGGGGUAGGAGUGAAAUCUUGUAAUCCCUGUGGGACCGACCUGUGGCGAAGGCGUCUUACCAGAACGGGUUCGACGGUGAGGGACGAAAGCUGGGGGCACGAACCGGAUUAGAUACCCGGGUAGUCCCAGCCGUAAACGAUGCUCGCUAGGUGUCAGGCAUGGCGCGACCGUGUCUGGUGCCGCAGGGAAGCCGUGAAGCGAGCCACCUGGGAAGUACGGCCGCAAGGCUGAAACUUAAAGGAAUUGGCGGGGGAGCACAACAACGGGUGGAAGCCUGCGGUUUAAUUGGACUCAACGCCGGACAACUCACCGGGGGCGACAGCAAUAUGUAGGCCAAGCUGAAGACUUUGCCUGAAUCGCUGAGGAGAGGUGGUGCAUGG